UGUGGCUCAGUGGUAGAGCACUUGCCUCACAUGUGUCAGGUCCUGGGUUUGAGUCCCAGCA
rnacentral:tRNA from 1 species